GUGCGCGGAAGGCCGGGGGCGCGUAACCGCACGGCCCGGCGGCUAUGGCGGGCGGGAUGAGCGCGGCCCGGCCCGGCCCCUCAGCGCUCGGGGCAGGCGAGCCUCCGCAGCUCGUGUGCCCGCUGGGAGAGGGAAAGAUACUGCGCUGAGAAGUAAAUAGGUCGGCGAAGUGUUCUAACGGCACGUUUCAGUGUCCCAGGGAGUCUUAAUGGCCUGCUGCAUAAUCCCAUUAAAGCGCCUGCCAGCGCAGCUCGCUGUCACCUUCCUCAGCCUUAGAGUCAGAUGCAUAAAACCAGCUGCCAUGUGGCACGACAGCUUACGGUGCAGAAGCUGAGGCUGGCUGGCACGGUUCUGGAGGUGCCAUCUAGUUUUCACAUCUAUUUUUUGAAAGAAAAAUCCCGCUUCCAUGAAGGCCUCUCCAAGUCCUAUGGCAAACACGGUUUAGGGGCUGUACAGAGCUUUUUGAGCCACUUCUUUCAGGGGAUGCAGUGCCCUUCCUGCAAGGAGCAAGGACCCUCUCUCGAGGAAAGAGGCAGAGCCGGAGCGUGAAGGUCUGUGUGAGCUGAAACGUAGUGAAAAGAGGGUUUAAUCCUGAAACCAGGAUUACACAGCCCUUCCAACGGCACCAGCAGCCCAAUAAGGCACUCCUACUGAGACACGGGGUCAGUGCCUUACUGGGCUACUGGGCACACUUCACGACUUUUAUGAGUUGUGGAGUUUUCUUUCCACAAAUCACUGCCGCUGUGGGGACGCCUCCUUAAAAUCCCUGCUUUCCCAACACUUUUUGUUUGCUCAGCAGGCAAACCCAGGAAACUUUUCUAGAGGUUUGAACUGCACCAAGGUAUGUACAAAACUGAAACAGAAGAGCACAGGGAAUUAAAACAGGAUGUAUAAGAGAGCUUUCUAACUAAUUCUCCAUUCUCCAGUUGAUGGAUGCAAGCCAACCCUACAAGUGUUACACCUGCCUAGCAUCUGGCAAGGUGUGAUCCUCAGUCAAAGCGCUCAGAAUUCCCAUCUCAAGAGAUCUAAAAUUGACCUUUUAAGUACCUGCUGAGGAUGGGACAAGGCAGCAGUGUGAAUUUAGCCCAGAGCCUGCGGGCAUCACUGAACAUGGCAGCACAAGAGAGCCAAGGGACAGCUGAGCAGGAUUGACAUUGCUGCCCCUCAAAAACACACACCUGGAGCUGCACACGCCUGUGGGAAAGGCCCAACCAAGCCAACACUCACAGUGCCCAACAACAGAAAUGUGAGCUGGCAUUCAUCCCUCAUGCUGGUCACUUGCAGAGGAAUCUUGCAAUAAAUGGCAGCUACAGGACAAGAAGAAUGGUACCAUUACUACCUCAGCAGGAAUGAGCAGGAAGGUGACUCAGAAAGAGUGUCCAGCACUGCCAUGCCACCCUUCUGAGUGUGAUUUGUUUGUGGAAGAUGAGAGAGACCUGUCUGGGUGAUGAGAGGUCCUCACUGCUGUAGUGACACCAAAAACCUGCUUGCAAAGAGUAUUUCAAGCACCCAACAUCCCACUGUUCUGCACUGCUAAGAGUCUGGCUCACUUGGAAUUGCUUGGACUGCUCUGGAAACUUUUGCAUCUCCAGUCCCCCGGGGGCUGCCUGAAGAGGCAGAUCCCUGCCUUGGAUCCUCCACCCAGUGCCAAUAAAACCUACUGCAACACUCAUAUUUUUAUCCAGGUAACAGUCUUGUAUGAAACAAAUAGGUAGCUACUUACUGUCUUCUUAGUAUUUUGUGUAGUGGGCUUUUUUGUGAUUUUUGUGAAAAACGCCUUUACUUUCUUGUGAAAAUUUAAAAAGUUUAAUAAAGGACAGUAGGAGACAGAAAUAAAGGGUUAAAACAGCUGGGUGUUGGAUAUUUAGUUAAGAGUACACUUGCUAUUUUGGAAAUGCUUUUAAUAUAAUAUUUUAUUACAUUUUUUUUAUAUAUUUAUAAAUAAUUAUGUAUAGUAAACUUUUUUUUCUAAAUUAGUUUACAUAUUCUAAGAACUGUCUAGUAUGGCUCUUUUUUGGUUUUAUUUUCUUAGAGUACUCUUGGGUUGUGGUAUUAGUUUAUUUUUAUCACUUUUAGUUUUUGGGUCUUGGUCUACACUGUUUUUAGACAGUGAGUGUUGAUAGUUGGUAUAUUUGUAGUAGGUGUUUUCUUUAUAUGUUUACUGGGUGUUAUUUCAUUUAAGUAGGUAUUUUAAUAUAAGUACACUUAUAUCAGUUAUUUUAUUAAGUUUAAUUAACAAUAGAAAUAAAAACUAUAUUUUAUGUAAAGUUUUUUAACAUUACACAU